GUUAGCAGUAACUGCUGAAUUCCUGGUUGGCUGACGGAAAGAUGGGGCAGCUGUUCACUGGUACGCAGGGUUUUAGAUGUAUGUACCUAAGGAUAUGAGGUAUGGCAAUGAACAGAAAUUCUUUUGGGAAUGAGUUUUAGGGCCAUUAAAGGACAUGACCUGAAGUUUCCUCUCAGGCCAGUCCCCACAACUUAAUAUAAAUAUGUUUCCUGCAUAUAGUCAAAGUUGCCACUUCUUUUUCUUCAUAUCAUCGAUCUUUACUCUUAAAGAUAAUCUUGGUUUUGCCUCAAACUCUGUUUGUCACUACAAACUUUCCCCAUGUUCCUAAGUAAAACAGAUAACUGCCUCUCAACUAUAUCAAGUAGACUAAAAUAUUGUGUCUCUAAUAUCAGAAAUGCAGCUUUAAUAUAUUGGGUUUAACUCUUUGAAAUUUAGAGUCUCCUUGAAAUAUACAUGGGGGUGAUUUCCUAAACUUUAUUUCUUGUAAGGAUUUAUCUCAGGGGUAGCACACAAACCAGCAUCCUGAACCUCUAAGUAUGAAGACAAUAAGCCUUAAGAAUAUAAAAUAAACUGUGAUUCUCUCUGCCGGUGGAAGUGUGCCCUGUCUAUUCCUGAAAUUGCUUGUUUGAGAUGCAUGAGAUGUGCAGCACAUGAGACACGUGCAGCAGCCUGUGGAAUAUUGUCAGUGAAGAAUGUCUCUGCCUGAUUAGAUAUAAAGACAAGUUUAACACAGCAUUAGACUGUAGAUCAAGCCCGUGCCAGACACAAAUGACCUAAUGCCCAGCACGGGCCAUGGAAUCUUCUAUCCUCUUGCUUGAACAGAGCAGCACACUUCUCCCCCAACACUAUUAGAUGUUCUCGCAUAAUUUUGUAGAUAUGUAGGAUUUGACAUGGACUGUUGUUCAGUGAUUCAGAGGAAAUCUCCUUUGUUCAGAUAAGUACACUGACUACUAAAUGGAUUAAAAAACUCGGUAAUAAAACCCAGUUUUCCCCUUA
rnacentral:sRNA from 1 species